rnacentral:rRNA from 1 species
CCCCUAGACGUUCUGGGCUGCACGCGCGCUACAAUAAUACGCACAGCGAGUAUCACCGAGCUCGAAAGGGCAAGGUAAACAAUAGAAAAGGUACUGUAAUGGUUAUAGAUCCUUGUAAUUAUUGAUCUUCAACGAGGAAUUCCUAGUAAGUAUGUGUCAUCAUCACGCACUGAUUACGUCCCUGCCCUUUGUACACACCGCCCGUCUCUCCUACCGAUUGAGUGAGCCGAUGAAACUGCCGGAUGUGGACUAUUCAUAGUCUGCAGAAGAUAUUUGAAUCGUAGCGCUUAGAGGAAGGAGAAGUCGUAACA